rnacentral:rRNA from 1 species
AACGAACGCUGGCGGCAGGCUUAACACAUGCAAGUCGAACGCAUCCUUCGGGGUGAGUGGCAGACGGGUGAGUAACGCGUGAGAACGUGCCCUUCAGUUCGGGAUAACCCAGGGAAACUUGGGCUAAUACCGGAUACGUGCGAGAGCAGAAAGAUUUAUCGCUGAAGGAUCGGCCCGCGUCUGAUUAGCUAGUUGGUGGGGUAAUGGCCCACCAAGGCGACGAUCAGUAGCUGGUCUGAGAGGAUGAUCAGCCACAUUGGGACUGAGACACGGCCCAAACUCCUACGGGAGGCAGCAGUGGGGAAUAUUGGACAAUGGGCGCAAGCCUGAUCCAGCCAUGCCGCGUGAGUGAUGAAGGCCUUAGGGUUGUAAAGCUCUUUCGUCCGGGACGAUAAUGACGGUACCGGAAGAAGAAGCCCCGGCUAACUUCGUGCCAGCCGCCGCCGAAAAAC